GCUGGAUUCUCCUUGCGUCCUCGAAAGUGGACAUCAAACCAUCCACCAAACCCACAGAAUCGUGUAUUUUCUGCAGUAAUGAUUGAUGAGAUAUUUGCCUGAAGACUGAGUAAAUCAUUCACACUUGAUGUUAAACAGUCAAUCUCCUUUAUGACAGCAGGUUUUCCAAUUACUUGAUUUGGAUGAAGGUUGUUCCACAAUGAUGUCUGAAGAUAGUAUUUUCUUUGCUCUUCAGAGAAUGGUUUCGUUAAAACAGACAUGUCAACUCCAUAAUCCAUUUUGGUAUCGGCAACAAAGUUAUACCAAUCAUCCAUAGCUCCUUCAUAAUCAUUCAUUUUCUGAUCUCCCAAUUUAGACCUAAUUGGCGCCACCCACAUGCGUGCAUGACUAGGAUACAUCACCCCGGAUGGCUUCAACCAGUGGUCACGUGCAUAAAUCACAGAGUCAAACAUAGAUUCCCGCAAUAGAAAAUAUCCCAUCCACUCAGAGAUAAUGACAUCAACUUUCUCUGGAAGGACAACAUCCUCCAUAGAUCCCUCAAUUACAUCAAUUACGUCCUGAAGGUUGUUAGCUUUAACGAGUGCACGGGCAUGUUCCGACAUCUUAG
rnacentral:misc_RNA from 1 species